UGAUAACAGCUCUGUAACGUUUGUCCUCUUCAUUCAACCUUCUCAUUAAGCGUCUCCAUUUACUCUCUCCGCCAUCUCUCCCACUACGUUCAAUUUAAUGACCCUUUCUAACCUCACUCUUGAAAUCCCCAAUUUCUGAGAUUAUAAAUAAGUGAUAUUGCAGACGUCUAAAAAGUGUGCUCCAACUUCCUCUGACAUCCAUCACUUGAGUUUAAAUACUUUUUGGUAUGACUACCUCCUUGGUUUUUUUACUGGAUUUCGGUUUGUUUUCCGGUGGUUUCGCGGGGGAUCAUCACUUGAGUUUAAGGAUUCUUCUAAAUAAAACUUGGAUUCGUAAUUUGGCUAUUUGAGCAAAAAAUAUAUGAAGACUGAAGAAAUAAUUAACGUCAAUCAUCUAAUAUUUUCUUGCACUACGCAUUUGUUGCUAACAGAGCUAUAUUCAUGUUCUUCUCUUUGUGCUUCUUUAUGUUGAUCCAGAGUACAAAGACUAUGGAGGAUGGGUUCGGGCCUUCGGCCUUAAUCCCCCCCCAGGCCCGGGGCCGGCCGGCGCUGAUACCGUGAACAUGGCGUAAAGCACCCCUCCCCAUGGGAAUCGAACUAGGGGUGCAAUGGAACCUACUCCAAGCACUAAACCACUAGCCCAACGCACCUUGGGUGUCAGGAACAUUCUUUCAACCCUUACUAUGACCAUUUCACCAAUAAAUUCAAUAAGUUUAUGUGUUUAUCUAUUUUUCUGCUAUUGAGUGUUGGUUCACAUCUUAUUUUCAUCGCAAAUGUCAAUUCAUGCUCACUAGGCACUAGAAUUAACUUAAGAUUAUAUUAUUGAUUCACUUUUCCAUAAAAUUAUGUAUUUGGGGUUGAUCAAAAUAACAUGAUUAUGGUCACAGGGGCCAGGUCCUGAUGCACGCAGAAGCGACAAAGAUGGUGCUUUUGAUAUUUUCCAGUUGGCUACGUUGAGGCAUAGCAAGUUAAAUUAAUGCAGAUAUAAGUCUUUACGUUUUUCUUUUUCCCAUGCCUUUUUGUCGACAAAAUUUGAAAGCUAAUAAGUAUUUAACUACAUAUUCUACAAAAAGCUUCAAACUAUAUUUUUUGGAAGUUAGAAGAGUUUAUAUUUAGCAACUUAUAUUGUUGCUCUGGGAUUUCCAAUGUUUGAUAGUGAAUAUAAAAAUAUACCAAAUUUUAAAAGAACAUGGACACAAAACUAAGAAAAAUAUAUUCAUACCACUCACACACCGUGAGGUAUUUUUGCAUGGUUUUAUUUCAAUUUUUAAUUCGACCGCCGAUGUUUAAAGUAAUAUAAGGUGUGAUGGCAAUGACAACAGUUUCUUGCUUUCUAACGCUUCUAUAUUAACCAUUAAAACAGAACUACUUGCAGAAAAGGUAGCAAGAUGUAACAAGGUGACGGGCAAGUGACACAUAUCAGCUCUCUCUGAUGGGUUAUGACCGAGAGUGUAUUAAGAUUAAGAGGACGUAGCGCCCUCUUUGACUCCAUGGGUGCAGGAUGGGCAAUGUCACCAGGUGAUAUAGCUUUAAAGAUCUGGCUGAAUAGGUUUUCUAAGCUUCAUCUCAACUUCUCAUCAGCCCCUCCAUCAUUUACCAAACAGAUUUAUGGGCCUACCAAAAAUAGACAAGCUGAAACGUUUCUGCAGUCUUUUUGCCAUUUCUGCUACUCGUCGUUUACAUGUACAGCCUGGUCGGAGUUGGAGAACAGAGUUAGCAGCUGCAAAUAAUGAAGGAAGCUGAGAGCUUGACUUCUUGAAUGACAUCGACCUUGAUUUUCAAGUUAUGAUUUCUAUGCCUUUUGUUCAAAAUAAAAUAUAACUAAAUAGUGUGAUCUUUUCUAUUUUUUACUACUUAGUAGCCAUGAUCAAGGAUUUCCAA